ACUUUAAAAAUUCCAAUCUGGAUUAAAGUGGCUUCACAAUGGGGCAAAGUUGAUACUCGACAAUGUGUAAUCAGAUGAUUAGAUAACCAAUGACUGGUUGGCUCAUCCUUUUGGAGAUAUCUUCUUGCCUAAACUGAGAAACUAAGCAACCACAGGCCAGACUGAAGGAAACUUGUUGACUCAGCCUUCCAUCCUUUCGAGGAUGCUGAACUGAAGAAGCUGAUUUACAGGCGAUGGAUGGAUUAGAGACCUCUGAUCUGCCAUUCAUAGCAAACUAUUCAUAGCAUGGGGGCUGGGUUAUUUCAGAGACUGCUUCUUCCCGAUUAUAUCUCUCCACCCGAUCUGAUCCAGCAGAAGAAGUUGUCAGGGUUCCAAGAAACACCCUCAACGAAAGAAG